rnacentral:lncRNA from 1 species
GACGCCGCAGGCAUGACUGGAGAGGGAGGUCCCAAUGGUGCUGCAGUGGCAGAAGGUGGCUCAUGAGUGAGAUCCAGAAGAACCACAGGGAAGACAUCCAUCAAGUGUGCGAGUCAAGUCCUGGGCAGAAACAUGAUAACCCUGAUCACUGAGCAGCUACAGAAGCAGACGCUGGAUGAGCUGAAAUGUACACGCUUCAGCCUCAGUCUGCCUUUGCCUGAUCAUGCAGACAUACCCAACUGUGGGGACCCUUUCCAGCUUGUGUCUGAAGGUGCUUCCUGGAGGGGCCUGCCCCACUGUUCCUGUGCUGAGUUCCAGGACAGCCUCAACUUCAGCUACCAUCCCUCA